rnacentral:rRNA from 1 species
ACCUACGGGGGGCAGCAGUGGGGAAUAUUGGGCAAUGGGCGCAAGCCUGACCCAGCAACGCCGCGUGAAGGAAGAAGGCUUUCGGGUUGUAAACUUCUCUUAAGGGGGACGAGCAAAUGACGGUACCCCUUGAAUAAGCCACGGCUAACUACGUGCCAGCAGCCGCGGUAAUACGUAGGUGGCAAGCGUUAUCCGGAUUUAUUGGGUGUAAAGGGCGUGUAGGCGGGAAUGCAAGUCAGAUGUGAAAACUAUGGGCUCAACCCAUAGCCUGCAUUUGAAACUGUAUUUCUUGAGUGCUGGAGAGG